rnacentral:rRNA from 1 species
GACAGAGGCCUCAAGCGUUAGGCGGAAUCACUGGGCUUAAAGCGUGUGUAGGCGGAUCGUUAAGUGUCUUGUGAAAUCCCACGGCUCACCCGUGGAACUGCUGGGCAUACUGGCGAUCUUGGGCCAACUAGGGGCAACUGGAACAAGCGGUGGAGCGGUGAAAUGCGUAGAUAUCGCGUGGAACGCCGAAGGUGAAAGCAGGUUGCUGGGGUUGUGCCGACGCUGAGACACGAAAGCCAGGGGAGCAAACGGG